rnacentral:rRNA from 1 species
GGAAUCAACGCUGGCGGCGUGCCUAACACAUGCAAGUCGCACGAGAAAGGGACUUCGGUCCUGAGUAAAGUGGCGCACGGGUGAGUAACACGUGAAUAAUCUACUCCGAGUGGGGAAUAACUGAGAGAAAUCUUAGCUAAUACCGCAUAAUACCCACGGGUCAAAGCAGCAAUGCGCUUGGAGAGGAGUUCGCGGCCGAUUAGCUAGUUGGCGGGGUAAUGGCCCACCGAAGGCGAUGAUCGGUA